UAGUAAUCGCAGAUCAGCAUGCUGCGGUGAAUACGUUCCCGGGGCUUGUACACACCGCCCGUCAAACCAUGGGAGUUGGGAAUGCCCGAAGUCAGUGACCUAACCGAAAGGAGGGAGCUGCCGAAGGCAGGCCUGAUAACUGGGGUGAAGUCGUAACAAGGUACC
rnacentral:rRNA from 1 species